UACGUAGGGGGCUAGCGUUGCCCGGAAUCAUUGGGCGUAAAGGGCGCGUAGGCGGCCCGUUAAGUCCGCUGUGAAAGUCCAGGGCUCAACCCUGGAAAGCGGGUGGAUACUGCCGGGCUAGAAUCCGGAAGAGGCGAGUGGAAUUCCUGGUGUAGCGGUGGAAUGCGCAGAUAUCAGGAGGAACACCGGUGGCGAAGGCGGCUUUCUGGACAGUAACUGACGCUGAGGCGCGAAAGCUAGGGGAGCAAACAGG
rnacentral:rRNA from 1 species